rnacentral:rRNA from 1 species
GAUGAACGCUGGCGGCGUGCCUAAUACAUGCAAGUCGAGCGAACAGAUCAGGAGCUUGCUCCUCUGACGUUAGCGGCGGACGGGUGAGUAACACGUGGAUAACCUACCUAUAAGACUGGGAUAACUUCGGGAAACCGGAGCUAAUACCGGAUAAUAUAUUGAACUGCAUGGUUCAAUAGUGAAAGACGGUUUUGCUGUCACUUAUAGAUGGAUCCGCGCCGCAUUAGCUAGUUGGUAAGGUAACGGCUUACCAAGGCAACGAUGCGUAGCCGACCUGAGAGGGUGAUCGGCCACACUAGAACUGAGACACGGUCCAGACUCCUACGGGAGGCAGCAGUAGGGAAUCUUCCGCAAUGGGCGAAAGCCUGACGGAGCAACGCCGCGUGAGUGAUGAAGGUCUUCGGAUCGUAGAACUCUGUUAUUAGGGAAGAACAAAUGUGUAAGUAACUAUGCACGUCUUGACGGUACCUAAUCAGAAAGCCACGGCUAACUACGUG